rnacentral:rRNA from 1 species
ACAGGGAGGUAGUGACAAGAAAUAACAAUACAGGGCCUAACGGUCUUGUAAUUGGAAUGAGUGAAGUAUAAACCCCUUUACGAGUAUCAAUUGGAGGGCAAGUCUGGUGCCAGCAGCCGCGGUAAUUCCAGCUCCAAUAGCGUAUAUUAAAGUUGUUGCAGUUAAAAAGCUCGUAGUUGGAUUUCUGUUGUAUAAUUUAUAAUAUUACCAAGGUAAUUAUUAUAUUAUCAACAUCCUUCCUAUUAUAUUCUAAAUAUAUAGGAAAUUUUACUUUGAGAAAAUUAGAGUGCUUAAAGCAGGCAACUGCCUUGAAUACUCCAGCAUGGAAUAAUAAGUAAGGACUUUUGUCUUUCUUAUUGGUUCUAGGACAAAAGUAAUGGUUAAUAGGGACAGUUGGGGGCAUUCGUAUUUAACAGCCAGAGGUGAAAUUCUUAGAUUUGUUAAAGACGAACUACUGCGAAAGCAUUUGCCAAGGAUGUUUUCAUUAAUCAAGAACGAAAGUUAGGGGAUCGAAGACGAUCAGAUACCGUCGUAGUCUUAACCAUAAACUAUGCCGACUAGAGAUUGGAGGUUGUUCCUUACUCCUU